GGGUAGGGGAGCGUUCUGUAAGCCUGUGAAGGUGGCCUGUGAGGGUUGCUGGAGGUAUCAGAAGUGCGAAUGCUGACAUAAGUAACGAUAAAGCGGGUGAAAAGCCCGCUCGCCGGAAGACCAAGGGUUCCUGUCCAACGUUAAUCGGGGCAGGGUGAGUCGACCCCUAAGGCGAGGCCGAAAGGCGUAGUCGAUGGGAAACGGGUUAAUAUUCCCGUACUUGGUGUUACUGCGAAGGGGGGACGGAGAAGGCUAUGUUGGCCGGGCGACGGUUGUCCCGGUUUAAGCGUGUAGGUGUGUGUUCCAGGUAAAUCCGGUUCACUUUAACACUGAGGCGUGAUGACGAGGCACUACGGUGCUGAAGCAACAAAUGCCCUGCUUCCAGGAAAAGCCUCUAAGCAUCAGGUAACAUCAAAUCGUACCCCAAACCGACACAGGUGGUCAGGUAGAGAAUACCAAGGCGCUUGAGAGAACUCGGGUGAAGGAACUAGGCAAAAUGGUGCCGUAACUUCGGGAGAAGGCACGCUGACACGUAGGUGAAGUGAUUUACUCAUGGAGCUGAAGUCAGUCGAAGAUACCAGCUGGCUGCAACUGUUUAUUAAAAACACAGCACUGUGCAAACACGAAAGUGGACGUAUACGGUGUGACGCCUGCCCGGUGCCGGAAGGUUAAUUGAUGGGGUCAGCGCAAGCGAAGCUCCUGAUCGAAGCCCCGGUAAACGGCGGCCGUAACUAUAACGGUCCUAAGGUAGCGAAAUUCCUUGUCGGGUAAGUUCCGACCUGCACGAAUGGCGUAAUGAUGGCCAGGCUGUCUCCACCCGAGACUCAGUGAAAUUGAACUCGCUGUGAAGAUGCAGUGUACCCGCGGCAAGACGGAAAGACCCCGUGAACCUUUACUAUAGCUUGACACUGAACAUUGAGCCUUGAUGUGUAGGAUAGGUGGGAGGCUUUGAAGUGUGGACGCCAGUCUGCAUGGAGCCGACCUUGAAAUACCACCCUUUAAUGUUU
rnacentral:rRNA from 1 species